UCGAACCUCACGCACGAAGCCAUCGACAACUGUUCCGUUUGAAUCGCGCAGGAUCCUAGCGAUUGAGCUCAAAAAUUCUCCUUGCACCCACGAGCAAUCAACGUUUAGCUUCACCGAUCCACCCUCCGGCGACAUCCACUUGACAGGUUUGUUUGGACUUGUGGGUUUCUUUGACCCUUUCUUCCUCUGCCAUCUACUGAAGUUCUUUGUUUGUGCAUGAGCUAUACCAACAAGAGAUCGUGGAUCUGGUGGCUUGGCUCGGAAGAUGAAGUCGUUGUGUGACUUCCAGAUCGUCCAGAGCACAGCCGCGACCAUCUCAUUCUCGGAGCAAAAACAGAUGUCCGGUUGUCUCUGGAUAGGUGGCACAGGGCGGGCAAAUGAGAUCAGGUUAUUAUUAAGAGGAAAAGCAAAUGGUACUUCAACAGUGGCUAUUCUAGACAUACGACUGGAGAUUCAAGCAGUUUCAUAAAACUGAAAAAACAAAAAGAAGGAAAUGUUUCGUUUGGUAGAAACAGCAAAUGAAAAAUUAUUAGACAUGGAACAGUGAGGAUUGGAUGUUUGAUCAUCAACAAUGUUUCCUCCUUGUCCCGUGCAUUCCUCGAAAGGAAUAUCCUUUGCCUCUUGUCCCAUGCAUUCUCGAGAGAGACGCGAAAUGAAAGAGAGGCCACAGCCACCCU